CAGCUAACUGAUUAAUCUCGUUUCAACGUCGAGUUUGCCUCCAAUGGAAAUCUCGUGGGAAAAACUGGCGUAUUCAAUGGGAAUUGUUGGAGCACAUAUCAGAAUCACAUUCCAUAUUAUUCAAGAAAUUUUAAGCUUCAUUUAAAUGGCUCGUUAAACGUGAUAAUGCAUGUCGUUCCCUCAAAUUCUUGACAAUAAUUUCGAACUUCGCACGGGCUCGAUACUCGUAUUUACGGAUCAUAUUUAAUACACUCGAGAGCCUCUACCAAUUCGAUGCGAUAUCGUCAUCUACUCUGGGAACAUGUAAAGUCGUUCAAAUUCGAACGGGAUGCUUCUUAAUGCGAAUAAGCUCUCGAGACUUUAUUGGAUACCUUGAUUCUUAAUCCUUUGGCUUAUCACGCCGAGUCACGGGUGUGUCAUAAAUUAUGGGUCAAAUACGAGAAGCGAGGACUUAUAUUUAAGGUAAUUUUAUCGAGGUCGAGAUAAAAUUCAGGAUUUAUGAAGAAUUUUAUACUAUUAAUUAUAUAAAUUUGAAAUUCAAAGUUUUAACCCUCUCAUGGGGGAGAAUAUAUAUUUCUGAUGAGUAGUGAGUGAGAUUCAUCGUUAAAGUGCAAAGGGUUAAAAUAUAUUAACAGAAAGGAGGAUUAAACUUUGCUGAAUC